rnacentral:rRNA from 1 species
AACGCUGGCGGCACGCCUAACACAUGCAAGUCGAACGGAGAUUGAGAGCUUGCUCUGAAUCUAGUGGCGGACGGGUGAGUAACACGUGAGCAACCUGCCUCUGAGAGAGGGAUAGCUUCUGGAAACGGAUGGUAAUACCUCAUAACAUAGCUGGACCGCAUGAUCCGGUUAUCAAAGAUUUAUCACUCAGAGAUGGGCUCGCGUCUGAUUAGCUAGUUGGUGAGGUAACGGCCCACCAAGGCGACGAUCAGUAGCCGGACUGAGAGGUUGAACGGCCACAUUGGGACUGAGACACGGCCCAGACUCCUACGGGAGGCAGCAGUGAGGGAUAUUGCACAAUGGAGGAAACUCUGAAUGCAGCGAUGCCGCGUGGAGGAAGAAGGUUUUCGGAUUGUAAACUCCUGUUUCGAGGGACGAUAAUGACGGUACCUCGGGAGGAAGCUCCGGCUAACUACGUGCCAGCCGCAGC